UACAUGGGGUGCAAGCGUUGCCCGGAAUUAUUGGGCGUAAAGCGCACGUAGGCGGUUUGUUAAGUCGGAUGUGAAAUCCCUCGGCUCAACUGAGGAAGUGCACCCGAAACUGGCAGGCUUGAGUACUAAAGAGGGUCGCGGAGUUCCCGGUGUAGAGGUGAAAUUCGUAGAUAUCGGGAGGAACACCGGUGGCGAAGGCGGCGACCUGGGUAGAUACUGACGCUGAGGUGCGAAAGCGUGGGGAGCAAACAGG
rnacentral:rRNA from 1 species